rnacentral:rRNA from 1 species
UACGUAGGGGGCUAGCGUUGUCCGGAAUUAUUGGGCGUAAAGGGCGCGUAGGCGGCUUUGCAAGUGACGGGUGAAAGCCCUCGGCUUAACCGAGGAACUGCCUGUCAGACUGUAAGGCUUGAGACCGGAAGAGGUGAGUGGAAUUCCUGGUGUAGCGGUGAAAUGCGCAGAUAUCAGGAGGAACACCGAUGGCGAAGGCAGCUCACUGGGACGGUACUGACGCUGAGACGCGAAAGCGUGGGGAGCAAACAGG